UGCAAAGGCUGGUGAGUAUCAGCCUGAAUACAAUCUAAUUGAUUGAAUGUGGGCUGAACAAAAGGUUUGUGAGGAAAGUGAAAGGUUGCGACAGCAGGAGCGAGAGCAAAUUGCAGAGAAGCAUAAGCGUGACAUGAUGCUUCGCGCUCGUAUAGCUGCUAAGGCAGAAGAAAAGAGGUUGGAGCUGUAGUACAUUCUGUGAACUCAGCAUCAUAAAAAGCUGUCCAAUUUCUUAAGUUGAGUUUUGCAUACUUGGUAACACUGAGAACCGGGAAGAGUCAGCUAUGGCUUUAUCAACGGAUCCGGACACUGAUGAG